GAUGAACGCUGGCGGCGUGCCUAAUACAUGCAAGUCGAGCGAACAGACGAGGAGCUUGCUCCUCUGACGUUAGCGGCGGACGGGUGAGUAACACGUGGAUAACCUACCUAUAAGACUGGGAUAACUUCGGGAAACCGGAGCUAAUACCGGAUAAUAUAUUGAACUGCAUGGUUCGAUAGUGAAAGACGGUUUUGCUGUCACUUAUAGAUGGAUCCGCGCCGCAUUAGCUAGUUGGUAAGGUAACGGCUUACCAAGGCAACGAUGCGUAGCCGACCUGAGAGGGUGAUCGGCCACACUGGAACUGAGACACGGUCCAGACUCCUACGGGAGGCAGCAGUAGGGAAUCUUCCGCAAUGGGCGAAAGCCUGACGGAGCAACGCCGCGUGAGUGAUGAAGGUCUUCGGAUCGUAAAACUCUGUUAUUAGGGAAGAACAAAUGUGUAAGUAACUAUGCACGUCUUGACGGUACCUAAUCAGAAAGCCACGGCUAACUACGUG
rnacentral:rRNA from 1 species